CCUGGGAAGGAAAGAGAAAGAUGCCAACCUGAGGGACGGGGUGGCAAGGGGAGGGGAGAGAACAGCAUGGGGCUGAGCUGGAGAUGUUCCCCUUGUCCGUGCCCCACAGGUUGCAGGGAUAAUAACUCCAGUAGAAGUUCUGCGACCAGCUGUGGGGAAACGUCCUAGAAAUCCAUCCGGUCUCCUUUGUUGAGCAAUAUUGCUGCAGGCGGAGGCCUCCCAGGGAUUUGCAAGUAAGAGUGAUGAGGACAAGAGUGUAUUCAAGGCAGCCUCUGGGCAAGGAAGGAUGAGAACUUGAAGGUGAAAAACUCUGAAACCCUCCCUGACCCUCAACUAUCAACUGGAUUAACUGGCCUUGGCGUUCUGCUCUGUAAAAUGGGGUAAUUAUGCCCACUCUGUCUCAUUACAGAGAUGUAGGGGUUUACGUAAUACUUGUGAAAGUGCUUUGCAAAGCUUAAUAUACAGAGAAAACCAUUAUAGAUGAUCUAAACAGCAGGCAAUUAAAAUCAUUGGGAAUAUAUGUUAAUUUGUAGUCCAGUGGAAUAUUAGCUCAGCCUAACACUAAAAAAAUGUUUGUGGCAUCUAACUAUACAUUUUACUGAUGCCAGGGUUUCAAAGCUCUGUAUCAGCACUGUCCAAAGAAAUAUAAACAAAGCCACAUUUGUAGUUUAAACUUACUACUAGCCACAUUAAAAAUGUAAAAAGAAACAGGUGAAAAAUUUAUUAUUAUAUCUUAUUUUAUCCAAAAUAUCAUUUUAACCUUUAAUCAAUAUUAAAAAAUAUUAAUGAAUUAUUUUACAUUCCUUUUUCAUAAAAGUGUUUAAAAUUCAGUAUGUAUUUUAUACUUACAACACAUCUCAAUUUGGAAGCUAAAUUUUCAAUGGUUAAAGUAAAAUGUAGUCCUACUGAACAGUA
rnacentral:lncRNA from 1 species